AGGCUUUGCUUUACCGGAAAGACAAUGGACAGGUACAAGUUAAUUAAAGAGGUUGGUGAUGGAACUUUGGUACCGUGUGGCGAGCUAUCAAUAAGCAGACGGGUGAAGUUGUUGCAAUUAGAAAAUGAAAAAGAAGUACUACUCAUGGGACGAAUGUAUCAAUCUGAGAGAAG